GUACUUACCUGGAAGGGUAGAUACCUUGAUCGAAGGUGCUUUUCCCAGGGUGAGGCUUAUCUAUUGCAGUCAGGGUGUGCAGACCCAUGUGAUUUCCCCAAAUAUGGGAAGCUGGAUCGUGUAAUUUGUGGUACUAGGGACUGUGUUCCUGCUCUGCUCCAGC